rnacentral:rRNA from 1 species
UACGAAGGGGGCUAGCGUUGCUCGGAAUCACUGGGCGUAAAGGGCGCGUAGGCGGCGUUUUAAGUCGGGGGUGAAAGCCUGUGGCUCAACCACAGAAUGGCCUUCGAUACUGGGACGCUUGAGUAUGGUAGAGGUUGGUGGAACUGCGAGUGUAGAGGUGAAAUUCGUAGAUAUUCGCAAGAACACCAGUGGCGAAAGCGGCUCACUGGCCCGAUACUGACGCUGAGGCACGAAAGCGUGGGGAGCAAACAGG